GUGUCAAGCUCUACACAUCCAUACAAGCGAUUUCAGAUUUAGUGCACUCCUUGGAGUUCGAAUCUUAGGACCCAUUUCUAGGGUUUGUGAAGAAAAUUGGGGUUUUUGCUCAAUUAGAGGAACCGGUAAGGAGGUAGUGGAUGCCGAUCUUCCAUAAGCUUAAGGAUGACUUGGAGCUCAUUUUGUAUCUUUUGUAUAUCUCCCAUUUUUGUAAGGCCCCAAAAGUGUAGUAAUGUGUAUUUAUUUUUAAAAACCAUGGUUAGGUAAUAUAAUUAUGUUAUUAGAUAAUAUUUUGGAUGUGAAUUUGAUAACAUGUAAACCUUAUUGAUGAAUGGGGAGAGUAAUACUAGUUUGAAGUAUUAUUGAGGUCA